CCCCGCCCCGCCCCUGGGCCCGCCCCUGGCCCCACCCCGCCCCUGGCCCCGCCCCCGACCCGGGGCCCUCGCGCGUGUCCCGACCGCGAACCCACUUCACGCAGCGGUUGUUUCCCGCCUGGUGCUCUUCUUCUGGGUGAAUUUUACCUAAUCUUUCGCCCAUCACCUUCAACGAAUACUAUCAGAGUAACGGGAGGGGAGAAAAGGGCUUAGAAAUCUAGUUUAUAGGGGGCGGAGCAAGAUGGCGGAGGAGUAGGAGACCUGGAUUUCGUCUCCUCUCAGGAAUUCAGCUGGAUAGGGAUCAGACCAUUCUGAACACCUACAAACCCAACAGGAGAUCGAAGAAAAGAAGAGCAACAACUCUCUCAUCAGAAAAGCGACCACUUUCUGGAAGAUAGGUAUCGGUCCUGCCAGAGGCAAGUUGGAAAUUUGUUCUUUAUCUCAGUAGAGGACAUUAUGCUGAUCACUUUAAGAUGCGGAAAGAGCUGGAUAGUCAGCAGAUCCAGGCUGGUUCAAGGAUCAAGGUGAGUGCAACAGUGGUGGAGGUGGAGAGAAGUGGUGAGAUUUUGGAUAUUUCUGAAAGCUGAUUUGACUUGCUUCUGUAGCAGUCUCCUGAAACUGAUCAGAAUCCUUGAAGGAGAAUUGGGAUUACAGUUACUAUUCUUUGAGCUUAAAAUGAGCUUCAAUCAAGAGGAGGAAUGAAAAUUGCUUAAGUCAGACCCCACAGCUAAAGGAUAUUUGUUGAAUUUGGAAGCGAUAAAGGGACAGGAGACAGGCCUUUCUCAGAAGGCCUCUGAGAAAACAAAGCAAGGUAUUUCAGAAGCCUGAAGGCACUAAUGUGGAUAGACUCAGGAUUCACCAGGACCCACCAGAUGGAAGCCCCCUCCUGGCAUAGACCCUAAUAACAGAGGUGAACUAGAGAUCAUCAAGAAAAUGGAGAAGCCUUCCGGAUCUGAAGAGGAUGGAGAAAAAUCAGGAGCUCUGUAACUAUGGAUUCAUAGGAAGUUGCGAAGAUAUUACAGCAAAGUCCUGUGUAUCCUUCACCUGAUAUCCUUCGCUGGUUACAGCUUACAUGUUUAAAGAGACUUUGAAAUUAUAGAAGAUAUGACAAUCAAUUGUUUAUGUUAGAGAUAGUCAAUGAUGCUUUUCCAAUAUGCCUUUUCAAAGUGUGGAUUUAAGCAACUAACGUUGAUAAGCACAGGAAAAAUUCCUCGAAGAUUUGAGUAUCAUCACCACUUGUCAAAACUAAGUAAGCUCUGGAUGUUUGGUAGGCUAUUGGCUGCCAGCAGGCCAUCUCAAGAAGAAAAGUAUUCAGUCUGAAAAAGUUGGCCUUGACUUGGAGAUAAGUAUUGCUGAGGAUUCUUGCUGCUGGAUUUAUGAUCUAUGAAUGGUUGGGAGGCAUUUGGAAUAUUAAAGUGUAUUUGUCUUUGAUAGUGCUUGAGUUUGCUCAAGCCAACAGCUAAGGUUGCAGUUAGAGCAUUUCCUGCUGCCGUCUGCCCUUACAAUAUCAUAAUCUUCAAGGUGGUGUCAAGAUGGCACUAGGGUUGAAAUGAGUAGUUGCCUCUGACUUCACUACGAGUGCCCUAUGCAAAAAAGAAUCACAAAAAAAUGAACAUACAAAACAAAAAUUCUGAUUUUAAUUAAGAACUUCUAUUUCUCAUCCCAUGUAUGGUUGAUGGAAGGCAAGAAAUGGUUUUCAUUAUAAGAACUUUUCUUACACAUUUGUGAAUAAAGCUU